ACGUAGGAGGAAAACGUUAUCCGGAUUUACUGGGCGUAAAGCGCGUGUAGGUGGUUUGGUAAGUAGAGCGUGAAAGCUCCUGGCUCAACUGGGAGAGGUCGUUCUAAACUGCCGGACUAGAGGAUGGUAGAGGGAGGUGGAAUUCCGGGUGUAUCGGUGGAAUGCGCAUAUAUCCGGAGGAACACCAGUAGCUAAAGCGACCACCUGGAACACUCCUGACACUCAGCCGCGUAAGCUAGGGUAGCAAACGG
rnacentral:rRNA from 1 species